rnacentral:rRNA from 1 species
GCCUAACACAUGCAAGUCGAGCGGUAGCACAGAGAGCUUGCUCUCGGGUGACGAGCGGCGGACGGGUGAGUAAUGUCUGGGAAACUGCCUGAUGGAGGGGGAUAACUACUGGAAACGGUAGCUAAUACCGCAUAACGUCGCAAGACCAAAGUGGGGGACCUUCGGGCCUCAUGCCAUCAGAUGUGCCCAGAUGGGAUUAGCUAGUAGGUGGGGUAACGGCUCACCUAGGCGACGAUCCCUAGCUGGUCUGAGAGGAUGACCAGCCACACUGGAACUGAGACACGGUCCAGACUCCUACGGGAGGCAGCAGUGGGGAAUAUUGCACAAUGGGCGCAAGCCUGAUGCAGCCAUGCCGCGUGUGUGAAGAAGGCCUUCGGGUUGUAAAGCACUUUCAGCGGGGAGGAAGGCGAUAAGGUUAAUAACCUUGUCGAUUGACGUUACCCGCAGAAGAAGCACCGGCUAACUCCGUGCCAGCAGCCGCGGUAAUACGGAGGGUGCAAGCGUUAAUCGGAAUUACUGGGCGUAAAGCGCACGCAGGCGGUCUGUCAAGUCGGAUGUGAAAUCCCCGGGCUCAACCUGGGAACUGCAUUCGAAACUGGCAGGCUAGAGUCUUGUAGAGGGGGGUAGAAUUCCAGGUGUAGCGGUGAAAUGCGUAGAGAUCUGGAGGAAUACCGGUGGCGAAGGCGGCCCCCUGGACAAAGACUGACGCUCAGGUGCGAAAGCGUGGGGAGCAAACAGGAUUAGAUACCGUGGUAGUCCACGCCGUAAACGAUGUCGAUUUGGAGGUUGUGCCCUUGAGGCGUGGCUUCCGGAGCUAACGCGUUAAAUCGACCGCCUGGGGAGUACGGCCGCAAGGUUAAAACUCAAAUGAAUUGACGGGGGCCCGCACAAGCGGUGGAGCAUGUGGUUUAAUUCGAUGCAACGCGAAGAACCUUACCUGGUCUUGACAUCCACAGAACUUUCCAGAGAUGGAUUGGUGCCUUCGGGAACUGUGAGACAGGUGCUGCAUGGCUGUCGUCAGCUCGUGUUGUGAAAUGUUGGGUUAAGUCCCGCAACGAGCGCAACCCUUAUCCUUUGUUGCCAGCGGUUAGGCCGGGAACUCAAAGGAGACUGCCAGUGAUAAACUGGAGGAAGGUGGGGAUGACGUCAAGUCAUCAUGGCCCUUACGACCAGGGCUACACACGUGCUACAAUGGCAUAUACAAAGAGAAGCGACCUCGCGAGAGCAAGCGGACCUCAUAAAGUAUGUCGUAGUCCGGAUUGGAGUCUGCAACUCGACUCCAUGAAGUCGGAAUCGCUAGUAAUCGUAGAUCAGAAUGCUACGGUGAAUACGUUCCCGGGCCUUGUACACACCGCCCGUCACACCAUGGGAGUGGGUUGCAAAAGAAGUAGGUAGCUUAACCUUCGGAGG